rnacentral:rRNA from 1 species
CAUUCCACGUUCUCCGCGCCGUAGCUAACGCAUUAAGUGCCCCGCCUGGGGAGUACGGCCGCAAGGCUAAAACUCAAAGGAAUUGACGGGGGCCCGCACAAGCGGCGGAGCAUGCGGAUUAAUUCGAUGCAACGCGAAGAACCUUACCAAGGCUUGACAUCCACCGGACCGCACUGGAGACAGUGCUUCCCUUCGGGGCUGGUGGACAGGUGGUGCAUGGUUGUCGUCAGCUCGUGUCGUGAGAUGUUGGGUUAAGUCCCGCAACGAGCGCAACCCUCGUUCUAUGUUGCCAGCACGUGAUGGUGGGGACUCAUAGGAGACUGCCGGGGUCAACUCGGAGGAAGGUGGGGAUGACGUCAAAUCAUCAUGCCCCUUAUGUCUUGGGCUUCACGCAUGCUACAAUGGCCGGUACAAAGGGUUGCGAUACUGUGAGGUGGAGCUAAUCCCAAAAAGCCGGUCUCAGUUCGGAUUGAGGUCUGCAACUCGACCUCAUGAAGUCGGAGUCGCUAGUAAUCGCAGAUCAGCAACGCUGCGGUGAAUACGUUCCCGGGCCUUGUACACACCGCCCGUCAAGUCACGAAAGUUGGUAACACCCGAAGCCGGUGGCCUAACCCCUUGUGGGAGGGAGCCGUCGAAGGUGGGACCGGCGAUUGGGACUAAGUCUAAAAGGGGGAACCAAA